rnacentral:rRNA from 1 species
GAUGAACGCUGGCGGCGUGCCUAAUACAUGCAAGUCGAGCGAACGGAUGAGAAGCUUGCUCCUCUGAUGUUAGCGGCGGACGGGUGAGUAACACGUGGAUAACCUACCUAUAAGACUGGGAUAACUUCGGGAAACCGUAGCUAAUACCGGAUAAUAUUUUGAACCGCAUGGUUCAAAAGUGAAAGACGGUCUUGCUGUCACUUAUAGAUGGAUCCGCGCUGCAUUAGCUAGUUGGUAAGGUCACGGCGUACCAAGGCAACGAUGCAUAGCCGACCUGAGAGGGUGAUCGGCCACACUGGAACUGAGACACGGUCCAAACUACUACGGGAGGCAGCAGUAGGGAAGCUUCCGAUAUUGGCGAAAGCGUGACGGAGUAAAGCCGCGUAGGUGAUGAAGGUCUUCGGGUCUUAAAACUCUGUUAUUAGGGAAGAACAUAUGUGUAAGUAACUGUGCACAUCUUGACGGUACCUAAUCAGAAAGCCACGGCUAACUACGUG